rnacentral:misc_RNA from 1 species
GUCCAGAUCUUCUUCUGAUGUUAAUAUAAAUUCUGAUGCAAAUGGUAAAAUUAUGGAAAACAGAUUUAUGUAUAUAGCAUCUCUACUCCCAUUCCAAAAGAAAGAGAAACAAAGUUAAUAGAACAGCCAGUCAGCUGUUCUUGCUAGGGCCAGCCUCUUCACUUUCAUAUUACUAAAUGUACUGAUGUGCCACUUCAUCCGCUGGUUGCUUUGACAAACAAAGACAGUAUUUAGUAACCAUAUUGCGGUUAUGCCUGGAAAGCAGCAGUACUCUUGUUUGUAAGUUGGAUAGCUCCUCCUGGAAGACUUCACCAUCUAAAACCCAAUUUAAGUUAGUUUUUAUACACCUCAACCUCAAUUUAGUUGGGGUCAUCAUGUGAAUCCUUUGUAUCCAUUCCGCCCUAUGUGUAGUUGUGGCUUCAUGAUAUGGUAACAUGCAUCUCCUCACCUACCAUAGCAAGUAAUUCACCUAUCCUGAAUCUAUCGACAUUGACCUCUGUGAGCCAGGUUGUUAAGUAAACCUGGAGAACGUUCCUCUCAAGUUGAC